rnacentral:rRNA from 1 species
CAAAAACAUAGUCAGUAGUUAAAAUUAUUGAUAAUUUCUGCUCAAUGAAUUUUAAAUAGCCGCAGUACCCUGACUGUGCUAAGGUAGCAUAAUCAUUUGGCUUUUAAUUGAAGUCUGGUAUGAACGAAUAUAUGGGGAAAAGCUAUAUAACUAAUAUAUGUUGAAGUUACUUAAUAAGUGCAAAUACUUAUAUAUAAAAAAUAGACGAGAAGACCCUAGAAAUUUUAAGAAUUUAAACUAAAAGUUUUUGUUGGGGCAACAAUGUAACAAAUAAAUUUACAUAUUAACAAGAAAGUAAUAGAAAGAAUAAAUUACUCUAGGGAUAACAGCGUAAUGUUAAAUCGUUUGCGACCUCGAUGUUGGACUAGGAAUUAUUAGUCCAGAAGGCUAAAUAAGUUGCUCUGUUCGAGCA